rnacentral:rRNA from 1 species
GAUCAUGGCUCAGGACGAACGCUGGCGGCGUGCUUAACACAUGCAAGUCGAACGAGAAUCUGUGGAACGAGGAUUCAUCCAAGUGAAGCAGAGGACAGUGGCGGACGGGUGAGUAACGCGUGAGGAACCUGCCUUUCAGAGGGGGACAACAGUUGGAAACGACUGCUAAUACCGCAUGACACAUAGAUGUCGCAUGGCAUUUAUGUCAAAGAUUUAUCG